rnacentral:rRNA from 1 species
UCAAGCGAACAAGGGCGCAGGGCGAAUGCCUUGGCACUGGGAGCCGAUGAAAGACGUGAUAAGCUGCGAUAAGCUUCGGGGAGCUGCAAAUAAGCAUUGAUCCGGAGAUUUCUGAAUGAGGAAACUCACCUGGGUUCAUACUCAGGUACGUUAUACUGAACUUCAAAAUAGGUAUAUCGAGGGAACCGCCUGAACUGAAACAUCUAAGUAGGGCGAGGAAGAGACAUCAAACGAGAUUCCGUAAGUAGUGGCGAGCGAACGCGGAAGAGGGCAAACCGGGAGUAGAAAUACUUCCGGGGUACGGAGCGCAUUUAAGACUUAAGUUGCUAACCGAACGGCAUGGGAAGGCCGGUCAGAGAGUGUGAGAACCACGUAGGUGAAAGCGACAAGAGCUGAGCGAAUUCCAGAGUACGGCCAGACACGUGAAACCUGGUCGGAAGAUGGGGGGACCACCCUCCAACCCUAAAUACUACCCAGUGACCGAUAGCGUAUAGUACUGUGAAGGAAAGGUGAAAAGCACCCCGGGAGGGGAGUGAAAAAGAACCUGAAACCCUGUGCCUACAAGCACCUAGAGCACGUCAAUGUGUGAUAGGGUACUUUUUGUAGAACGGUCCGGCGAGCGAUUGUAUGCAGCAAGGUUAAGGACUUAAGGUCUGGAGCCGAAGCGAAAGCGAGUUUGAAAAGGGCGUUAAGUUGCAUAUAAUGGGCCCGAAACCGGGUGACCUACCCAUGGUCAGGUUGAAGUGGAAGUAAAAUUCCAUGGAGGACCGAACCGACCUCCGUUGAAAAGGCGGCGGAUGAACUGUGGGUAGCGGAGAAAUUCCAAUCGAACCCGGAGAUAGCUGGUUCUCCCCGAAAUAGUUUUAGGACUAGCCUCAAGUUAGAUACCUGGAGGUAAAGCACUGAAUAGCCUAGCGGCCGAGAGGUUAGCGAAGCUUAUCAAACUCAGAAUGCCAGAGUAUUGAUGCUUGGGAGUCAGACAGUGUCAGAUAAAUGUCAUUGUCAAAAGGGAAACAGCCCAGAUCUACAGCUAAGGUCCCAAAGUCAGGUUAAGUGGAAAACGAUGUGAAGAUACGCAGACAACCAGGAUGUUGGCUCAGAAGCAGCCACUCAUUCAAAGAGUGCGUAAUAGCUCACUGGUCGAGCGUCUUUGCGCGGAGAAUUUAACGGGGCUAAACCUGACACCGAAGCUUAGGCAAUCCAGUAAUGGAUUGGGUAGGGGAGCGUUGUAUACGCGGAGAAACAGUAGCGUAAGCGGCUGUGGAGUGUAUAGAAGUGAGAAUGCCGGAAUGAGUAGCGCGAAUGCAGUGAGAAUCUGCAUGGCCGAAAGCCUCAGGUUUUUGGAGGAAGGUUCGUCCGCUCCAAGUUAGUCGGGAGCUAAGGUGAGGCCGAAAGGCGUAGCCGAUGCACAGACGGUAGAGAUUCCGUCACCACCAAAAGAGUUAAGCACAGGGACACAUUUGAAGUCUCAGAGCCGGGUGUUGGUUCCGGUAGAGAUCGAGGGAAAUUAGUACCGAAGUCUGGGAUGGAAGAUGGCGAGAAAAGCUGUGUGUAUUUCUGAGGUGCCCGUACCGCAAACCGACACAGGUAGGUAGGAAGAAGAUUCUAAGGCCAACGGGAGAAGGGUUGUUAAGGAACUCGGCAAAUUGACCCCGUAACUUCGGGAGAAGGGGUGCUCCAGAGAUGGAGCCGCAGAGAAUCGGCCCAAGCAACUGUUUACCAAAAACACAGGUUUGUGCUAAAUCGAAAGAUGACGUAUACGAGCUGACGCCUGCCCGGUGCUGGAAGGUUAAGAGGAGAUGUGCAAGCAUUGAAUCGAAGCCCCAGUGAACGGCGGCCGUAACUAUAACGGUCCUAAGGUAGCGAAAUUCCUUGUCAGGUAAGUUCUGACCCGCACGAAAGGCGUAAUGAUUUGGGCACUGUCUCAACAGCCCGCCCGGCGAAAUUGUAGUACCGGUGAAGAUGCCGGUUACCCGCGAC